UAGUGUUUAUUUGGAAGUUGAUUCAAAUCAGUAUUUAAACUGCUGUGGUGAGAUCUCACUCAAGUGGAUAAACAUUUGUUUAGGAUCAUUUUGAUAUUUCCUUUCCUUCAAGGAAAGUUUAAAGACUUCACACCCACUUACACAAUGUUUUCACAGGUUUAGAAAUAGCUUGGGUUCAACGUCCACCAGAAAAGGUCACCGACGGGGAGGAGUUCAACGUUACUGUCACUGCCACUGAUUCCUUUCAUGAAUACGCCGUUAAAAACAAGAUUUUCCAGUUCAGCAAUGCUUCAGAUGCCAGAAGAUGCUGCCUGGAGCAGGAAUGCCCCUCAAACUGGAACAAUGUUGGCCAAUGAAGAAAACUGUGUUCAUCACGCCAACAUCCACUCAUGCCCUCUGGCUCUCAGGAAAUGGAAGAACUGUAGCGGUAAAACACGUCCAGAAGAAACACUUCACUCUCAAUAAAACAAUCAGAAAACAGGUCAAGGAGGUCCGGUAAUACCCACAAUAUCCAUAUACAACUAUACCCACAACUCUUAAAAAUAUUGUA